UAACACUUCAGCUCUGGCCAGGGUUUCUGCAACGUUAACUUCUUUCAAACCAAUGAACAGCCCCUGAAGUGGGCAAUGUGAAGCUACUUGCUUGAGGAAGGAUGUAGAGUUCAGAAAGCUCCAGCAACUUGCUCAAGAUCACACAGCAAGUUAAUGGUCAAGCUCGAAACGAGGAUCAAGACUCCAAACUUCCAGUACAAUUGGAGGCAGCAAGACGGCCGGGCCUGGGCUGAGAGAAGCGGUUCGAGCCUCCUCUUUGUACACAUGUUUGACUUGGAGCUGGUUCCUGAUCAGUACAGCCGCAGAAGCAGUUACAAAGAACCCUGGCAAUCUGGCUUUUCCUGGACUUCCCCGCUCAUGCCAAUCACUGGCUGUUAUAACCUUCAUAUCUGAACAGGUUGGGAAUUCUUUAGAAAUGGCCUUAUUUGCCCUUCCUACAGUCCAGCCAGAACAGCAGCCGUAAGAAUGGCUUUGUGUUUCCUUGAGCUGUUGAUUGGAGGGUGUGAACAACAAGAGCUGAUUAGUCCUGGGCUUUGCCCUGAGACUGCCCAAAGUGGCACACGGGUAGUGGGGGCCAGGCUAGGGCCCAGGGCUCCUGGCAGCCCAGCAGUGCCUCUGCCCUCCCCUGUGCUGUUUCCAGGUGCUGUGUGUGUGUAUGUUUGGGGGUUGAUAUGAAUUACAAUCACAGUCCUCUCUCAAUGAGAAUGUCACAGGUGGCCACAAAAAUGGAUUCAGUGCUGGGCUCACUGUUAUUGGCCAGGGGAGUGGGGCUUGAAACCAGAGGAAAAGAGACCCAUUCCCUGGCCUCAGAGAUCCUGGUGUCAAUAAACAAGAAAGAUAAUAAUAUAAAGUAAGGCUGCUUAUAACUCCAGUGUGAGCUGAGGUCAUGUGUCCUUUGAGAUAAAAUAACCAUUGACUGGAGCCCUAUUUCUCCCUAGUGGGAAGGCUGAUGCCCUCCUAAGCUUUCCGCAAGUCCCCAGGGUAGUUGUCUUCCCUGGGUUCCUGCUCUCUCUGAGCCUGUUUGAUUUCAGGGUGACUGGACCCAUCUUUUCUUGUUUGCCCCCUGAACUGUCCCUCCAGGGAUCUGAGGGCCGAAGGUCUGGUAGCCGAUAAGGCAGCAAGGGUGACUUAACUGCUGGCCAGCCCUGGGCCUGAAGGCCCUUAGGCCACCCACCCUGAGAUCUCCUCUCUGGCCACCCCCAUUCACAGGCCCUAGAACCACAUUUGCAUUCUUGGUCCCUUGCCCUUAGAGUCCACUUUUCCACCUGUUGGGGCUCCCCUAGGAGUACAGUUUCUAUCACUGUGUCAUUAGGAACAGUGGAUUCUCUACCUCUAUGUAUGCUGAUCUCCUCGAACAUUCAAAUUCAUUAACGUGGAAUGCUAAGGAAAGGCCACCUGCUUUUUAAAUUUUGUUAUUGUU